AGGCAGCCCCCUUUUCUUGAUAACGAUGGAGAGGGAGGUGUUAAUCUGCUCGAACAGUGAUCCAGCUUUUGCUCUUCAGACUUGCUGAGAUUAACUCCAAUCUUUGAAGCUGGUCUAGUAAGCUCAAGUACAUU